UACGGGGGGGGCAAGCGUUGUUCGGAAUUACUGGGCGUAAAGGGCUCGUAGGUGGCCAACUAAGUCAGACGUGAAAUCCCUCGGCUUAACCGGGGAACUGCGUCUGAUACUGGAUGGCUUGAGUUUGGGAGAGGGACGCGGAAUUCCCGGUGUAGCAGUGAAAUGCGUAGAUAUCGGGAGGAAUACCGAUGGCGAAGGCAGGUCUCUGGGCUAUAACUGACGCUCAUGCACGAAAGCGUGGGGAGCAAACAGG
rnacentral:rRNA from 1 species